UACGUAGGAGGCGAGCGUUGUCCGGAGUUACUGGGCGUAAAGGGUGCGCAGGCGGCCUCUGCGCGUGUGCGAUGAAAUCUCCCGGCUCAACUGGGAGGGGAUCGUGCAAACGGCGGGGCUUGAGGCUCGGCGAGGGGCGUGGAAUUCCGGGUGGAGCGGUGAAAUGCGUAGAGAUCCGGAGGAACACCGACGGCGUAAGCAGCGCCCUGGACGAGACCUGACGCUCAGGCACGAAAGCUGGGGGA
rnacentral:rRNA from 1 species